GACGAACGCUGGCGGCGUGCCUAAUACAUGCAAGUUGAGCGAUGAAGAUUGGUGCUUGCACCAAUUUGAAGAGCAGCGAACGGGUGAGUAACGCGUGGGGAAUCUGCCUUUGAGCGGGGGACAACAUUUGGAAACGAAUGCUAAUACCGCAUAACAACUUUAAACAUAAGUUUUAAGUUUGAAAGAUGCAAUUGCAUCACUCAAAGAUGAUCCCGCGUUGUAUUAGCUAGUUGGUGAGGUAAAGGCUCACCAAGGCGAUGAUACAUAGCCGACCUGAGAGGGUGAUCGGCCACACUGGGACUGAGACACGGCCCAAACGCCUACGGGAGGCAGCAGUAGGGAAUCUUCGGCAAUGGACGAAAGUCUGACCGAGCAACGCCGCGUGAGUGAAGAAGGUUUUCGGAUCGUAAAACUCUGUUGGUAGAGAAGAACGUUGGUGAGAGUGGAAAGCUCAUCAAGUGACGGUAACUACCCAGAAAGGGACGGCUAACUACGUG
rnacentral:rRNA from 1 species